rnacentral:rRNA from 1 species
ACGGAAGGCAGCAGUGAGGAAUAUUGGUCAAUGGGCGAGAGCCUGAACCAGCCAAGUCGCGUGAAGGAUGAAGGUUCUAUGGAUUGUAAACUUCUUUUAUUCGAGGGUAAAGUGAGUCACGUGUGGUUCAUUGCAAGUAUCGAAUGAAUAAGCAUCGGCUAACUCCGUGCCAGCAGCCGCGGUAAUACGGAGGAUGCGAGCGUUAUCCGGAUUUAUUGGGUUUAAAGGGAGCGUAGGCGGGCCUUUAAGUCAGUGGUCAAAGCGUGUGGCUCAACCAUACCACGCCGUUGAUACUGGAGGCCUUGAGUGCACAUAAGGAUGGUGGAAUUCAUGGUGUAGCGGUGAAAUGCUUAGAUAUCAUGAAGAACUCCGAUUGCGAAGGCAGCUGUCCGGGGUGUAACUGACGCUAAUGCUCGAAAGUGCGGGUAUCAAACAGGAUUAGAUACCCUGGUA